AAGAAGAAGACCCCACUGAAGAAGAAGAAGAGGAAGAAGAAGAAGAGGAAUAAGAAGAAAGUAAACGAUGAGAGCCUGCAGUACUGCCCUGAUAUCGAGAAGAUCUGCAGUGACGUUCACAAACAGAAAUGGCAUUAAAUGGGCCCGAGGGUUGAUUGCUGUACGCAGCUGACGAAAAAGAAGAGGAUUACCUCACACUGAACUGGACUUUUGAACUGGAUAGUUUUGUGUUUUGUUGGUAACAGCAUACCCAAAUAAAAAUAACAAAAAAAUGUGAA